rnacentral:pre_miRNA from 1 species
UUUAGUCAAAUUUGUAUGGAGUUGGAACGUUUGCCUACGUUUGCCGCUAGGGGCGCUGUUCCAGCUGAAUACUAGAUA